rnacentral:ncRNA from 1 species
UUUUGCGGGAUCGGGAGAAGUUGCGUUCUGAGAUCAUACGGUUUAACUUGAUCUGGAUAAUACCAGCGAAAGGAUUAUGCGAUCUCCCUCU